AGAGGGCCGGGGCCCUAAGUGCCCUAAGUAUCCCAGGCCAGCCAGCAGCAUGGGAUGGGCGCAGCCGGAAGUGCGGGCCGUACGCCGGAAGUGCCGGAAGUACGCCGGCAACGUCCACAGGCGUUCACAGGGAGCGUGGCAAGCUGCGGAGCAGGACGUCCCUGAGGCGCCCGGCCGGCCUGCGCCCAGCCGCCUGCUCCCCCAGGCCGGCUGCCAAGGCGCUGAGAGAGCUCGGCUAAGAACACCCCACGCCUUACAGCUCAGCCCGUUGAAUCACCCCGUGACUCUUUGUCGAGCCCCGCGUUGGUGGGUGCCACGGGCGGCUGCGCACUUCGCCUCCAUUGGCGUGGCUUAGGCGGCAGAGCUGGGCUUAGAUCCUGCGGCCUGCGGGUCGGACUUGCUCCAGCGUCUCCAGAGCCCACGUCCCCGAGGCCGCGAGAGACUGGAAAUGCGUGCGCCCGGUAUGCUGACGGCUCUGCGCGGUGCUCCCUGAUUCGAAGGAACUGUCGUCCAAGCUCCUUCACGCUCACAUUGACAGCAUCUCCGUUCCCCAGGGUGGUUGGAAAAAUGAGUCAGAGUCCACCACGUCUCCUUCUCAGGGCUGGUGCGUGGUGGGACCAGAUGCCCAAGCGGUUAGCACAGACGGCCUGCUGGGCACUCUCAGACGGGAGCACACCCGGGAGUUUGUCAGUGGCCAGGGAGGCCUUGCUGAAAUGUCCGUGGCAGUGUCGGCACUCGGGCCCGAAGGACGGGAGCGUCAAGGGGCUACUGAUGCUGUGACCCCAUCACCAGACAGAAUGUCACUUGGAUCGAUGCCUGAUCGAAUGCCUCGUUGAUGGCCCAGUAAAGUCCCGUGCAUGUCUCAGGCUUCUCCGUCCUCCCUCUCAGAGGAAAGAGUUCCAGAAGCCUCCCCAUGCCGGCAUGCAGUUCCUCUGGGCCCAGGCAGCGUGGGUGUGCCAGGAGGACCAGUUUCGGCCGACUGCCAUCCCAGCCACGUUCAGCUGAGCUCACCAGGACCGAACAAGGCCUGAAGUGUCUCAAGGAGUGUUUUUAACAAGUUGUAAAUAAUAUCUCACCAAGUCCCCUCGCUGCCUAGAAUUGAUACAGCUGGUGAGAAGUAGUCAUGAUCCCGUGAAUCAUUUGUCCAUUUACAAGAACAUUUCAUUCACCUCCUUCCAGAAGGAUGCACAGAACACGCUUUAAAAGAAGGCGUAACUGGUACUGACAUAUGGGAACUGGUACUGACACUGUGUUGCACUGGCUCAUGCGGUGUGUGCAGAAGAAGGGAUACUCGUAAUUACUGGGGAUUUUUAAAAAAAUAGAGAUAAUUUGUCUUAAGAAGAAACAUGGGCAUCUGCAGAAUGAUGACUUUGUCUCCCUGUGGUCUGCUCUUGGGUCAGAAACGUGGCCGGUACCCUGCCAGGUGAUUGCUGGCUUCUGGGCCUGCUCUCUCACUCUCGAAGAAAAGGCGUAUGUCUCAGCCUCCUGCAGAACCACCUCGCUCUUGCCUCUUGUCGCCCCUGCUAAGGCUGAGCAUGGAUCUCCGUAUGUUGGCACAUGAACUAAGGAAUAAGCCUCUGGAAGAAAGUCAGAAUAUCUCUAAUGGGGAAGUCUUUCCUGCUACAGCGACCAUCCCUAUGACAGCUGGGCUUAAGGAGGAAGGGGGGGAGCUUGGAUGACCAGGGUUGCAUCAGCCUGCAAACCAAGCAGCCAUGCCACGUAACAAAGCAUCCGACCCUCAGUGACUUGAGACAAAGGCUAUUUCUUCUCAUGACCAGGGCUCUGCGGGUUCACCUCGCUACAGCUGAUCUGGGCUACCCUCAUUCUGGGGUGGGCGAGCGGGGCAUGGCUUUAGGCUCCUGAAUAGACUUGGGUCUUUUCCUCAGGUUUCUGCAGAGGCCAUAUCUGAAGUGGCGCCUCUGCCUGGUGCAUAACCUUCUCAGGGGAUCCCAGGAAUGAAAGCUUGCCCAACUCCAGGGCACAAGGACUUGGCAAGCCUCUGGAGGCAUUGCAUCAAGAAUAUCUCAUUAGCCCAGACAGGUCACAUGGUCCACCCAUGUGGACCACCAUGGUGCACCUACCUCCCAAGGGCAGGGAGGGAGCAGGGCCUGGCCUUGGGGCUCUGGGGAUA